UACGUAGGGGGCUAGCGUUGUCCGGAAUCAUUGGGCGUAAAGAGCGUGUAGGCGGUCCGGUAAGUCCGCUGUGAAAGUCGGGGGCUCAACCCUCGAAUGCCGGUGGAUACUGUCGGGCUAGAGUGCGGAAGAGGCGAGUGGAAUUCCUGGUGUAGCGGUGAAAUGCGCAGAUAUCAGGAGGAACACCUAUUGCGAAGGCAGCUCGCUGGGACGUUACUGACGCUGAGACGCGAAAGCAUGGGGAGCGAACAGG
rnacentral:rRNA from 1 species